rnacentral:tRNA from 1 species
GGCAACGUGGCGCAGAUCUCGGGUAAUGCACUUCCCUCAUAAGGAAGGAUAUGUCGGUUCGAAUCCGACCGUUGCUA